CCCUUAGAUGUCCUGGGCCGCACGCGCGUUACACUGAUGCAUUCAACGAGCUUAUAACCUUGGCCGAGAGGCCUGGGCAAUCUUGUUAACGUGCAUCGUGAUAGGGAUAGAUUAUUGAAAUUAUUAAUCUUGAACGAGGAAUUCCUAGUAAACGCAGAUCAUCAAUCUGCAUUGAUUACGUCCCUGCCCUUUGUACACACCGCCCGUCGCACCUACCGAUUGGAUGGUCCGGUGAAGCCUCGGGAUUGUGGUUCUUGCCGCUUUAUUGUGGCGUGACAGCGAGAACUUGUCUAAACCUUAUCAUCUAGAGGAAGGUGAAGUCGUAACA
rnacentral:rRNA from 1 species